UCCUACACAGCAAAUUCACGGGUGUUAUAUUUCUGGUGUUAUGACAAAUAAACACUGUUGCAGUGAUAGAUGUUAAACUCUCAACACUUUUGGUGUAGAUAUGAUACAAAAGCCAGUGUUAAUUUGCGGCGUUCCGAUUAAUAAACACCAAUUGGGUGUAACAAGUUCCAUCCGGGAUAUUUUGCAAAUUGCUCAAACUUCCAGCGCAGUCCGCCAUUUCUCAAACCCCCCUGCAGGAUAGCAGACUUCUCUUCAAGCUGUGGACAAUUCUGUGUGAUAUUUAAGUGGAUGCGAUGAUUGUCAGGAUAUGUGAGCCGCUUGGAUAAUAUUCAUCAUGGGUCUGGGCAAAGUUCUCCAUAAAUGAAGACAAAACCUUGACAGUGACUGAGGAACGGAAGUGGAUGCUGAUGUGUUUCCAGAUCUGGUUACCAAGGACAUGUGCUUAGUCAUCCAUGAUUCUGAUAAAGGUUCUUCAAGACUUCAGCCUUCUCGUUGGAUCUGAAACAUCUGCAAGACAUCUGGAAAGAUGGCCCUCAUACAAACCCAAGCUGAUAAAAGAAAGACCUGCACUACAAGCUACCAACACCAUUGCUGCAACACCUAUUGCAGUCUGCCAGGGACAAAUGGACUUGUCUGUAGACAACUUACAAGUCAUGCCAGAGUCUUGAUGAGCACUUGAAUGAAGAUGAACAUCGGCAGCCAUAUCUGCUAGCUUUGGGAACCUCCAAGCGAGCCAUCAACAGUUUCUACAUAGCCAUGGAUAAGAAGCCCAUUCCAUGCCAAGGAAACACCUCUCUGGCAGCAUUCGACAAGCUUUUCAAGGUUCAUUUUGUUUUCAGUUUGAGUUGCAACAAAUCUCUAAGCAACUUUUUUACAUUCCUGCAGACCACCAAAGAGAGCCCAAAAGUAAAGGCAUUGCAAGCAAAGUUGAUGAAUGAUGCAUAGGUGUUACGUUUAUGGGACACUGCAUGGCAAUAACUGGUGCCAAUAAUUCUACAAAAACACAACAUACAUUUUAUUCUCAUGGAUAUGGAGACUGUUUAUGUCGAGCAUCUUUACGCUUUUGAGGUUUAAAGAACUUCAUCAUUUUUAUAUUGUUAAAAAAGAUGAUUUGCAGCAUUACAAACCGUUUGAACUUUAGAUAUCAUACAGCUGUGAUUUUGUCGUUUUAUAUAGUGCCUGACUGUUGCAUUUUGUAAUGAACUGAAGAAUGUUUUGCUGUUUAAUAAAUAAAUGUAGUACAUUUUUACAUUAA